rnacentral:rRNA from 1 species
CGUAGGUGGCAAGCGUUGUCCGGAAUUAUUGGGCGUAAAGCGCGCGCAGGCGGUCCUUUAAGUCUGAUGUGAAAGCCCACGGCUCAACCGUGGAGGGUCAUUGGAAACUGGGGGACUUGAGUACAGAAGAGAAGAGUGGAAUUCCACGUGUAGCGGUGAAAUGCGUAGAGAUGUGGAGGAACACCAGUGGCGAAGGCGACUCUUUGGUCUGUAACUGACGCUGAGGCGCGAAAGCGUGGGGAGCAAACAGGAUUAGAUACCCUGGUAGUCCACGCUGUAAACGAUGAGUGCUAAGUGUUAGAGGGUUUCCGCCCUUUAGUGCUGCAGCUAACGCAUUAAGCACUCCGCCUGGGGAGUACGGCCGCAAGGCUGA